rnacentral:rRNA from 1 species
GAUGAACGCUGGCGGCGUGCUUAACACAUGCAAGUCGAACGAAGCACUUUAUUUGAUUUCCUUCGGGACUGAUUAUUUUGUGACUGAGUGGCGGACGGGUGAGUAACGCGUGGGUAACCUGCCUUGUACAGGGGGAUAACAGUUGGAAACGGCUGCUAAUACCGCAUAAGCGCACGGCAUCGCAUGAUGCAGUGUGAAAAACUCCGGUGGUAUAAGAUGGACCCGCGUUGGAUUAGCUAGUUGGUGAGGUAACGGCCCACCAAGGCGACGAUCCAUAGCCGACCUGAGAGGGUGACCGGCCACAUUGGGACUGAGACACGGCCCAAACUCCUACGGGAGGCAGCAGUGGGGAAUAUGGCACAAUGGGCGAAAGCCUGAUGCAGCGACGCCGCGGGAGCGAAGAAGUAUUUCGGUAUGUAAAGCUCUAUCAGCAGGGAAGAUAAUGACGGUACCUGACUAAGAAGCACCGGCUAAAUACGU